GGUUGCUACUGGUCCACCCUCAGGUCUAGGAGCAGAGGACACAUGUUGACAACAUGUUGAACUUAGACUCCUGAGCCAUCUCUCAAGAUGACAUCGCCAAAUACAGCCGUCCAAAUCACAUCCUCUCAUGGAUUCAAAAACACAGAGUUCCUGUGGGGAAAUUCCUCCUAAGAACAGUCCAGAAAAGGAUGCCCACACAUCUAAGUGGUGACAGAAGUCACUGGGGACAGGGGAGCAGUGCCGUUAUGAAUGGACCCAAACAAUACAUC